rnacentral:rRNA from 1 species
UUGAAAGGGAAACGAUUGAAGUCAGUCAUGCCGGUGGGAAUCAACUUAGGGGAAACUCUAGGUGCACUUCUUCGCUUGGCAGGUCAACGUCGAUUUUGAAUGUCAUAAAAUAAUUGGGGGAAGGUAGCUCUUUCGGGAGUGUUAUAGCCCUUGGUAGAUGUGAUGUCUGGGAUCGAGGAUUGCAACGGAUACCUUUGGGGCUAACCGCCUGAUCUCUAAUUGGUGUUGGGUUACGGACAGCAUGCUGACCGUGAUCUAAUUACUGGUUAAAAGGUUAGAACGUGUAUAAAUUCGUUAAGGAUGUUGACGUA